rnacentral:rRNA from 1 species
GAAAUUUAAGGGCGUAUGGUGGAUGCCUUGACUUUAAGAGGCGAUGAAGGACGUGGCGUUGCUGCGAUAAGCUUCGGGGAGGUGCUUAGCUACCUUUGAUCCGGAGAUUUCCGAAUGGGGAAACCCUAUCAAGUAAACCUUGAUAACUUUUAUCUUUAUGAUAAAAGAGCAUACCCUGGGAAGUGAAACAUCUCAGUACCAGGAGGAAUAGAGACAAAUAUGUAUUUCCUUAGUAGCGGCGAGCGAAAAGGAAGAAGCCCAAACCGUUCUCGCAAGAGGGCGGGGUUGUAAGAUGACAAUGUAGUUUACUAGGAGAGUUAAAAAAUAAAUUAUUAGUUGAAGUUGCUGGAAAGCGACACCGUAGGGGGUGAUAGUCCCGUAAACGAAAAUAAUUUAUCUCUUUUAUUGUUAUUCUUGAGUACCCCAGGACAUGAAUGGCCGGGGGGAAUCUAGCGGAACUAACCGCUAAGGCUAAAUACUCUUAAAGAUCGAUAGUGAACAAGUACCGUGAGGGAAAGGUGAAAAGCAGCCCGAUUAGGGCGGUGAAAUAGACCUGAAACCAUAUGUCUACAAGGAGUCGGAGCAGGUAUUUAUAUCUGCAACGGCGUGCCUAUUGAAGAAUGAGCCAACGAGUUUAUUCAUACUGCAAGGCUAAGCUGGCUAAAACAGCAGAGCCACAGGGAAACCGAGUGUUAAUAGCGCGAAAUUUAAGCAGAAAACAAUAGACCCGAAGCCAGAUGAGCUUACCAUGACCAGGGUGAACCCCGGAGAAAUCCGGGGGGAGGCCCGAACCGUUUAGCCGUUCAAAACUAUCGGAUGAGUUGUGGUAAGGAGUGAAAAGCUAAUCGAAUCUGGGAAUAGCUGGUUCUCUCCGAAAUAGUUUUAGGACUAGCCCCGCGUGUUUUUUAUUGAAGGUAGAGCACUGGUUGGUAUUGAUUGGCGCAAGCUAGCAAGACCAGUCAAACUCCGAAUUCCAUUAAAAUAACUCGGGAGUCAGUAUUCGGGGGCAAAGCUCCGAAUACAAGAGAGCAAGAACUCGGACCAUCGUCUAAGGUCCCUAAAUUUUGGCUAAGUGUAGAAGGAAGUGAUGCGUCGAAGACAAAUAGGAGGUUGGCUUAGAGGUAG